rnacentral:ncRNA from 1 species
AAUAGGAACAAUAACCUUCGUAUAAGUCUAAUAAUAUGGGUUAGACGUUUCUACAAUACUACCGUAAAUAGUAUAGCUAUGAAGACAGAAUAUA